rnacentral:lncRNA from 1 species
AGAAUUUGCCUUUCUGCCUGAGGCAGGAUGUCCCAUGACCACUUUAGCCUCUUGUUGGAAAACAAUGAAGAAAAUAGCUACCAUUAAUGGAGCUCCUGCUCUGUGCCAGGGACUGUGCCAUGUACUUCACUCUGAGAAGCAAGGGCCCUGCUUAUCCCCAUUUGAAAUGGGAAAAAGCCUCUGAUUAAACCGCUUGCCCAAGUCUCCUGGCAGUAAGUGGUGGAGCAGGAUUUCGUCCCAGCCUCAUGCUGUUUCCACAUCCCCACAGUGGCCCCGGGCUGUGCUCCUUCCCUGGACCUGAGCUUCACUAUUGGACCAGAUGAGCCUCUCGGAUCCAUCCCAGCCUGGCACGUCUAGAUCCUGCCUCCCAACGCAGGCUGCUGAGAUGUUCACUUGAAUCUCUCACCAUGGACAUUACCCAAACAUUACCUAAUGUUUUCCAGAGAGAAGAAUCCUAUUUCUUUCUGUGUUUUAGAUUCCAAACCAAAAAGGGACAUAAUUGUGUGGUGAAAAUAACAAGGGACUUCAAAUCAGAAAACCCAGGCUCAGAUCCUGGCUCUAAUAUUUACCAGUCAUGUCAUUUUAGGGUUACAGCCUUUCCAAAUACCUUUCCCCUAAUCUGUAAAGUGGAGAUCAUAAUAACUACCUCAGCAGGAUGUUACGAAGACCAAGUGAGAAGCCUGGCAUCUGGCAGGUACUCAAGAAACAAAAAUACAAGCCCACAAAACAAAAACCACCACAAGACACUUCAUGCCUCUGUCCUCCUAGUUUCUAUGGAGAGGUAUAAGACUUUUGUCUCUACCUCAUUUCAUUUACAAGGACUUCCCACUAAAAAGUGAACCAGAGAUGCUCUAGACAAAGUUAAUUGCCAGAGACCUCUCAGUAUAUGUAUGACUAAACCCAAACAAAUAACCUGAAGAAAAUGUUCUCUUUUUCAGUGAAAUAAAAGUAAUUCCCAUUCAGACAGAUCUGGUUAGAAU